ensembl:lncRNA
CUCUGUCCUCAGCAGCAGUCAUCUCCUCGGCAUCUCCGGCAGGAGCUCGCCAAAGAGCCCACGGGAACGCUGCUUGGGACUGCUGCGUGACCUUGGAGUAGCACCAGGGUCCUGCAACGCUGGGUAGGUCCCUUUUCUUCGCUUUGUAGCCACUGAGUAGAGCUUUGGUUAGGUCCUAGUCGGUGCUGGUUGUUGCUAACGGCCUCUGGCUUCUCCGAAGUGUCAGUCUAGAAAGAAAAAUAAUCCAUGUAGAAAUUGAUGGGUCUGCCUGUGUGAAUGAGAAGGUAGCGUAGAGAAAUGGUCCCCAAGCGUACAACUGGCUUGGGGUGGCUCAGCUGCUUUUCUGCAUUUGAGUGACAGUGGCAUUAAGGCAGCACAGAAUCCCAACUAUUCAUCUUUUCUGGGUAGAGCAGCUGUCUUUCAGUAACAGCUAGAGGAAUGCAGCUCUCCUCUAUGACACUGAUGUCAGGCAAGCUAAGAUAGGAAGGAUAAUAGGUUCAUGCAUAGAGGAUUACAUUAUUUUCUUUACCCUAACAACUGACGAAGGAUGGAAGUGUUAGCCCCUGAAAAGAAAACACAUGAAGAGAAUGAAGAUUUGCAGCAGUAUCCUCAGAAGCCUGCAAGCUGUAAGAAAAUGCUUAGGAAUUGCUGCUUGAUAAAGCGAAUUUUUGCCUGGAAAAGUUUGAGCUCUAAAGGAAGUUUGUUUUAUUUGAUAAGGAAAAGAAAAUCUGAGGGUCAGCUGUGGCAGUAUUUCAGCCUUUCUGAUAUUUACUUGGUUAGCAGAUAAAGCCCAACAGGAUUCAUCUCCUCCUGGGAGCCUUUGAGGUAAGAUUACUGUGUUCCUUGAAGCAGAAAACAUGACUUACAAAAAUUUAGAAACCACAUUUCAUUU